AAAUUUUGCCGUUUUUGUUAUCUUGAAUACUAUUAUAGAUAGCGAUAAACUGUAAACAGCAAUAAUGUUCAGCAAAGUAAGAUCUACAAAUAAGUCAACAUGACCUUUAUGGUCAAUUGACCCCUUUUAGGAGUUAUUGCCCUUUAUAGUCAAUUUUUAACAAUUUUCAUUAUUUGGUAAAUUUAUGUAAAUUUUUACCAAAUAUAGUUCUCUGUUACUAAUGGGCC
rnacentral:lncRNA from 1 species